rnacentral:rRNA from 1 species
GACAGAGGGGGCAAGCGUUGCUCGGAAUCACUGGGCGUAAAGGGCGCGUAGGCGGGAUGGCAAGUCGGUCGUGAAAUCCUUCGGCUCAACCGAAGAACGUCGGCCGAUACUGCCGUUCUUGAGGGAUGCAGAGGAGAUUGGAAUUCCCGGUGUAGCGGUGAAAUGUGUAGAGAUCGGGAGGAACACCGGUGGCGAAGGCGGCUCUCUGGAACGCAACUGACGCUGAGACGCGAAAGCGUGGGGAGCAAACAGG